rnacentral:miRNA from 1 species
UGAAAUGUUUAGGACCACUCU